GAGCCUACGGGACGCAGCAGUGGGGAAUAUUGCACAAUGGGGGAAACCCUGAUGCAGCGACGCCGCGUGGGCGAGGAAGUACCUCGGUAUGUAAAGCCCUAUCAGCAGGGAAGAAACAGGACAGUACCUGACUAAGAAGCCCCGGCUAACUACGUGCCAGCAGCCGCGGUAAUACGUAGGGGGCAAGCGUUAUCCGGAUUUACUGGGUGUAAAGGGAGCGCAGGCGGCGUGGCAAGUCAGAUGUGAAAACCCGGGGCCCAACCCCGGGAGUGCAUUUGAAACUGCCAUGCUGGAGUGCCGGAGAG
rnacentral:rRNA from 1 species